rnacentral:rRNA from 1 species
GCCAGCAGCCGCGGUAAAACGUAGGGGGCGAGCGUUAUCCGGAAUUAUUGGGCGUAAAGCGCGCGCAGGCGGCUUAGUAGGUUGGACGUGAAAGCUCCUGGCUCAACUGGGAGAGGUCGUUCAAUACCGCUAGGCUUGAGGGCGGAAGAGGGGAGUGGAAUUCCCGGUGUAGUGGUGGAAUGCGUAGAUAUCGGGAGGAACACCAGUGGCGAAAGCGGCUCCCUGGUCCGCAUCUGACGCUCAUGUGCGAAAGCGUGGGGAGCGAACGGGAUUAGAUACCCCGGUAGUCCACGCUGUAAACGAUGGAUGCUAGGUGUGGGAGGUCUUGACCCCUUCUGUGCCGUAGCUAACGCGUUAAGCAUCCCGCCUGGGGACUACCGGCGCAAGGUUAAAACUCCAAGGAAUUGACCGGGGCC